CAGCAGCCGCGGGAAUACAGAGGGUGCGAGCGUUAAUCGGAUUUACUGGGCGUAAAGCGUGCGUAGGCGGCUUUUUAAGUCAGAUGUGAAAUCCCUGAGCUUAACUUAGGAAUUGCAUUCGAUACUGGGAAGCUAGAGUAUGGGAGAGGAUGGUAGAAUUCCAGGUGUAGCGGUGAAAUGCGUAGAGAUCUGGAGGAAUACCGAUGGCGAAGGCAGCCAUCUGGCCUAAUACUGACGCUGAGGUACGAAAGCAUGGGGAGCAAACAGGAUUAGAUACCCCUGUAGUCCCUGUCUCUUAUAA
rnacentral:rRNA from 1 species